rnacentral:rRNA from 1 species
GAUGAACGCUGGCGGCGUGCUUAACACAUGCAAGUCGAACGUGAAGCCCUUGUUGAUUACUUCGGUUUGAUUCAGGGGUGGAAAGUGGCGGACGGGUGAGUAACACGUAGGUAAUCUGCCCUAGAGCGGGGGACAACCAUUGGAAACGAUGGCUAAUACCCCAUGGUCCUUUUCUUAUGGGAAUAAGAAUGGGUAAAACUCCGGUGCUCUGGGAGGAGCCUGCGUCCGAUUAGCUAGUUGGUGGGGUAAUGGCCUACCAAGGCUUCGAUCGGUAGCUGGUCUGAGAGGACGAUCAGUCACAUGGGAACUGAGACACGGUCCCAACUCCUACGGGGGGCAGCAGUGAGGAAUAUUGCGCAAUGGGGGAAACCCUGACGCAGCAACGCCGCGUGGAGGAUGAAGGCUUCGGUUGUAAACUCCUUUUCCGAGGGAAGAGACAAGGACGGUACCUCGGGAAUAAGUCACGGCUAACUACG